rnacentral:rRNA from 1 species
UACGUAGGGUGCAAGCGUUGUCCGGAAUUAUUGGGCGUAAAGAGCUCGUAGGCGGUGUGUCGCGUCGGCCGUGAAAACUUGGGGCUUAACUCUGAGCGUGCGGUCGAUACGGGCAUCACUUGAGUUCGGCAGGGGAGACUGGAAUUCCUGGUGUAGCGGUGAAAUGCGCAGAUAUCAGGAGGAACACCGGUGGCGAAGGCGGGUCUCUGGGCCGAUACUGACGCUGAGGAGCGAAAGCGUGGGGAGCGAACAGG